AUUGAAUGGAAGAUCCAAAGAUUUUUCUGAGAAUAGGAGACGUCUACUGUUGUUGGGCAUCAUUCAGGUAUGUCUUUUAGAGGGUAUUGAGUAAAAAUUUCUGGAACUUUUUAAAACAAUCUUCCAUUAUGCAUCCUCACUGAAUAUUUUAGUAUGAGUCUGUCCAUAGCCAAUACUGGCAACUGCCGUCUCAUUUAAACGAUUUUUGACGGGAUAUCAUGUUAUCUCUGACUAUACAAAUUUUCCUUUUCUCAUAAAAGAGCAAUGAUAUUUAAUAUUCAUUUCAUAAUCACAACAGAACACAUCAAAACAUGCUUGAUAUUCACCUUUUAGAAUUUUGAAUACAAAAAAAUAAUAUUAAAAAAUAUCCUGUCCCGAUUCGGAAACAGGACGUUAUCUAACCUAUUCUUUCUCUCUAUAUAUCAUUGUAGGUAUUUCCGGUGUUGACUUGAAACGUUUUCAUUCACGAUGUUGCGGAUUCAUCAUUGCAUUUGCAUGGGGUAGUGCAUAUGUUGUGUGUGGCCUUCUAAACGAUAAAUCUAUGGAUAAUAUGAUGAACAGGUCGAUGCAGGAAUAUUCAUUCUAAUGAUAAGGAAAUACGAAAUGCAAGGACAACCUCCAAGCAUGCAGUAUGCCUUAUACAAACAAUGAUGGAAUGUUCCAAACUAGGUGAGUAGAAGAUGCAUUCCAUGACUGACUCCCCAUAUGAUAUGAAAGAGAGCCAUGAGAAUGGAACCAACUUUCAGUGUUACAAUGGAUGAACACUCCUCCUGUCACAAGUCCAUCUUGAUUCAGUAAAGUGGUAGUCUAUUUAUCUAGGAAGCAACAAGACGGAUCUGGACAAGGACCAUAUUGACUCAAGUUUUGGUGUCAGAAGACCAUUUUGAUUAAACAUGUUAAAAGCACCACAGAAGUAAGAAGCUAGGAUACCAGUUUUAUAAACUAAAGAGUCGAAAGGCCCAGCUGGAGAGAAAUUCCCAUUUCUCGACCAAGGACAAAAAAAAAAAAGAUUAAAAAGGUGCUGACUAAGGAGGCAACGUCUCCAGAAGUAACGGAUGAUGAGGAAGCCACCCAGAGGAAGGUCUUACCAUUUAUAUGGGAGUCAUCCCUGCCGCGUAAUGUUAAGUGCGACCUGGACAGAGAGUAUGCUGAAUCUUUGCAACUUCAAUCAAAGAGACAAAAAGCCAAGGCCAUUAGAAGUAGAACGGAAAUGACUAUGACCCCACCACCUAGGAGCAUUCAAGAGUGGGCCGUUUCCUCUACUUAUAAAUGAUGCUAUUACUGUUAAUAGUUAUAUUUAAUUUCCUCAUUUCUAGCUCACCUGAGUCAAAGGCUCAAGGUCACAAUUAAUACUUUUAUACCAUUAUAACCAGUUUUUAUGAAAUUUUAAUAAUGCUGUUGAAGGAGAAUUGCAAUUUUUCGGAUGUUUAUAAUUGACACUGUUUAAGUAUGUCUAGCAUCUUAAAAAGUGUGAUGACCUAUAUAUUUCAUUUGAUAAUUUAUUAAUUUUAACUUUAAUAAAUUGAAAUAAAUGCAUUUUUGAUACUUUUAUCAGAGAAUAUUGCAAGUAUGGAGUUACCUUGAUAUAUUUAUACAGAUUUGUUCUGCUUUAGUACUAGUGUAUCAGUAUUAUUACAUCAAGUUCAUUUGUGUGAAUAUUAUAAUAUUUAAGAAUGAAUAAAACUGUCAAAUUGUG